rnacentral:sRNA from 1 species
UUUACCAUGUGCCGAAAGUAUUUGAUGGC